GCCAGGUGUGGUGGCGCGCGCUUGUAGUCCCAGCUACUGGGGAGGCUGAGGUGGGAGGAUCGCUUGAGUCCAGGAGUUCUGGGCUGCAGUGUGCUAUGGCGAUCGGGCGUCCACACUAAGUUAGGCAUCAAUAUGGUGAUCUCCCGGGAGCGGGGGACUACCUGGUUGCCUAAGGAGGGAUGAACUGGCCCAGGUCAGAAGAAAGUAAAAAGAAGUCAGGUGUGGCAGUGCACGCUUGUAAUCCCAGCACUCAGGAGGCUAAGGUGGAAGGGUUGAUGCAAGUUUGAGAUCAGCCUGGGCUACAAAGUGAAUUCAA
ensembl:misc_RNA Metazoa_SRP Metazoan signal recognition particle RNA